rnacentral:misc_RNA from 1 species
UCGUAACAAGGUUUCCGUAGGUGAACCUGCGGAAGGAUCAUUACCGAGUGAGGGCCCUCUGGGUCCAACCUCCCACCCGUGUUUAUUUUACCUUGUUGCUUCGGCGGGCCCGCCUUAACUGGCCGCCGGGGGGCUCACGCCCCCGGGCCCGCGCCCGCCGAAGACACCCUCGAACUCUGUCUGAAGAUUGAAGUCUGAGUGAAAAUAUAAAUUAUUUAAAACUUUCAACAACGGAUCUCUUGGUUCCGGCAUCGAUGAAGAACGCAGCGAAAUGCGAUACGUAAUGUGAAUUGCAAAUUCAGUGAAUCAUCGAGUCUUUGAACGCACAUUGCGCCCCCUGGUAUUCCGGGGGGCAUGCCUGUCCGAGCGUCAUUGCUGCCCUCAAGCCCGGCUUGUGUGUUGGGCCCCGUCCUCCGAUUUCCGGGGGACGGGCCCGAAAGGCAGCGGCGGCACCGCGUCCGGUCCUCGAGCGUAUGGGGCUUUGUCACCCGCUCUGUAGGCCCGGCCGGCGCUUGCCGAUCAACCCAAAU